rnacentral:rRNA from 1 species
GUGUCAGCCGCCGCGGUAAAACGUAGGAGGCAAGCGUUAUCCGGAUUUACUGGGCGUAAAGCGCGUGCAGGCGGUUCGGUAAGUCGGACGUGAAAGCUCCUGGCUCAACUGGGAGAGGCCGUUCGAUACUACCGAACUAGAGGGCAGGAGAGGGAGGUGGAAUUCCGGGUGUAGCGGUGAAAUGCGUAGAUAUCCGGAGGAACACCAGUGGCGAAGGCGGCCUCCUGGUCUGCCCCUGACGCUCAGACGCGAAAGCUAGGGGAGCGAACGGGAUUAGAAACCCCCGUAGUCC